AAGCAGGUGCCCCAUGGGGGCUUAAUAGGGAAGACCGGUGUAAAACCGGCGCGGUCCCGCCACUGUAAUGAGGAGCGAGCUCAAGAUAUACCACUGGAACGCCAGCGUUCUGGGAAGGUUUGGGCAAGCGAUGAUUCAGAGCCAGGAGAACUGCCUGUUUAA
rnacentral:ncRNA from 1 species